rnacentral:snRNA from 1 species
UUGCUUGCUUCAGCACCCCAUGUACUAAAAUUGGAAUGAUACAGAAAAGAUUAGCAUGAAUUCUGCUCAAGGAUGACACUCAAAUUCAUGAAGCAUUCCAUUUUUUG